CACUUGGUAUAAAGAUGAUUUACCUUUUCGAGAUGAUAUUAAUAUAUUUCCAUCACAGAAUGGGAGACGGAUCAGUGCCAGAAACAGAGAAUAGUUCUGCCAUCAACGUCUUGUUACAGAUCAAGCUAAACCAUACUUUACCCAGAUAUUAAAGGAUGAACGUGUAACUGAGGGUAGUAAAGUAUCAUGGUGGUGUGAAGCUAAUGGAGAACCAGUGCCAUCUUAUACGUGGAUUAAGAACCAACAGAUCAUACGACCUAUACCAUGGGAUAUCGAGAUAAAAGAUAAUGUUUUAACGAUCCAUGCAGCGUAUACACGACGUGGAGGCCUGUAUCAGUGUCAGGCUAAAAACAUCCAUGGUUCAACGUAUACUAGUGCACAGUUGUGGGUAUCAGAUGUUAAAGUUGUUGGUUAAGGAGGUGAUGAGUACCAUGGUAUUAGUCACCAGAUGUUUAUAUAAUCACAGUAGAAGAUAUGGUCAAUGUUUCACCAGAUGAAUAGUGAAUAUAUUUCUGAUCUUAAAGAUACAUCCAGUUAUCUCCCUUGAUCACUCAAUACUAACAAAUAUUAA